CACGUGACAUCCUGUCUGAAUAUGGGGGGACCAUCCUCCAAGGCUAAAUACUCCUGACUGACCGAUAGUGAACCAGUACCGUGAGGGAAAGGCGAAAAGAACCCCUGUGAGGGGAGUGAAAUAGAACCUGAAACCGUGUACGUACAAGCAGUGGGAGCCCUUCGGGGUGACUGCGUACCUUUUGUAUAAUGGGUCAGCGACUUACAUUUUGUAGCGAGGUUAACCGUAUAGGGGAGCCGUAGGGAAACCGAGUCUUAACUGGGCGUCUAGUUGCAAGGUGUAGACCCGAAACCGGGUGAUCUAGCCAUGGGCAGGUUGAAGGUUGAGUAACAUCAACUGGAGGACCGAACCCACUAACGUUGCAAAGUUAGGGGAUGACCUGUGGCUGGGGGUGAAAGGCCAAUCAAACUCGGAGAUAGCUGGUUCUCCCCGAAAGCUAUUUAGGUAGCGCCUCGGACGAAUACUACUGGGGGUAGAGCACUGUUUGGGCUAGGGGGUCAUCCCGACUUACCAACCCCAUGCAAACUCCGAAUACCAGUAAGUAAUAUCCGGGAGACACACGGCGGGUGCUAACGUCCGUCGUGAAGAGGGAAACAACCCAGACCGCCGGCUAAGGUCCCAAAGUUCUGGUUAAGUGGGAAACGAUGUGGGAAGGCUCAGACAGCUAGGAUGUUGGCUUAGAAGCAGCCAUCAUUUAAAGAAAGCGUAAUAGCUCACUAGUCGAGUCGGCCUGCGCGGAAGAUGUAACGGGGCUCAAACCA
rnacentral:rRNA from 1 species